CCGUAUAGCGGAAGUCGAGGUGCUGCAUGGCUGUCGUCAGCUCGUGUCGUGAGAUGUUCGGUUAAGUCCGCUAACGAGCGCAACCCCUGUCCUUAGUUGCCAUCAGGUAAUGCUGGGAACUCUAAGGAAACUGCCCUGGUUAACGGGGAGGAAGGUGGGGACGACGUCAAGUCAUCACGGCCUUUAUGUCCAGGGCUACACACGUGCUACAAUGGUCGGCACAAAGGGUUGCCAACCCGCGAGGGGGAGCCAAUCCCAAAAAUCCGGCCUCAGUUCGGAUUGCAGUCUGCAACUCGACUGCAUGAAGUCGGAAUCGCUAGUAAUCGCGAAUCAGCAGGUCGCGGUGAAUACGUUCCCGGGCCUU
rnacentral:rRNA from 1 species